GAAGGUUCGUCCGCCCUGGGUAAGUCGGGACCUAAGGCCAGGCCGAAAGGCGUAGUCGAUGGAUAGCAGGUUGAUAUUCCUGCACCCGCGAGUAAAGUGAUGGAGUGACAGAUAGGGUUAACCAGAGUCCUAAAUGGAUUGGGCAAGGCAAGCAGGAGAGUGGCGUAGGCAAAUCCGCGUCGGAUACUCAAAGGCUUGACUCAAGCGAACGCGCGAGCAAGUAGUGAAGAAGGUGAUACCAGGUCUCGAGAAAAGCUUCUAGCGAUAAUUUACUAGCGGCCCGUACCAAAACCGACACAGGUGGUUGAGGCGAGUAGCCUAAGGUGAGCGAGAGAACUGUUGCCAAGGAACUCGGCAAAUUGACCCCGUACGUUAGCAAUAAGGGGUGCUCGAAAGAGCCGCAGUGAAUAGGCCCUAGCAACUGUUUAACUAAAACAUAGCUCUCUGCGAAGUCGCAAGACGAAGUAUAGGGGGUGACACCUGCCCGGUGCUGGAAGGUCAAGGGGAUUUGUCAGACGCAAGUCAAAGCAUUGAACCGAAGCCCCAGUGAACGGCGGCCGUAACUAUAACGGUCCUAAGGUAGCGAAAUUCCUUGUCAGGUAAGUUCUGACCCGCACGAAAGGUGUAAUGAUUUGGGCACUGUCUCGGCAGCAGACUCGGUGAAAUCUUAGUACCUGUGAAGAUGCAGGUUACCCGCAACUAGACGGAAAGACCCCAUGGAGCUUUACUGUAGUCUGCUAUUGAGUUUCGGUUAAGUAUGCACAGGAUAGGUGGGAGACGAUGAGACUGGUCUUUCGGGAUCAGAGGAGUCACUGUUGGGAUACCACUCUUACUUAAUUGAAAUUCUAACUCUAAGCCGUGAUCCGGCUAGAGGACCGUGGCAGAUGGGCAGUUUGACUGGGGCGGUCGCCUCCCAAAGAGUAACGGAGGCGCACAAAGGUACUCUCAGAAUGGUUGGAAAUCAUUCAACGAGCGCAAACGCAGAAGAGUGCUUGACUGCGAGACAAACAAGUCGAGCAGGGACGAAAGUCGGUGUUAGUGAUCCGGCGGUGCAGAAUGGAAUGGCCGUCGCUUAACGGAUAAAAGCUACCCUGGGGAUAACAGGCUGAUCUCGCCCAAGAGUUCACAUCGACGGCGAGGUUUGGCACCUCGAUGUCGGCUCAUCGCAUCCUG
rnacentral:rRNA from 1 species